GUGAUCUACCCUUGGCCAGGUUGAAGGUUGGGUAACACCAACUGGAGGACCGGAUGGGUAAGCGUUGAAAAGCUUUCCAAUGAGCUGAGGGUAGGGGUGAAAGGCUAAUCAAACUCGGAGAUAGCUCGUACUCCCCGAAAUGCAUUUAGGUGCAGCCUCUUUAUAGUAUAUCGUGAGGUAGAGCGACUGAUUGGAUGCGAGGGCUUCACCGCCUAUCAAGUCCAGAUAAACUCCGAAUGCGCGAUAUAUAUUUACAGGGAGUGAGGGCGCGGGUGCUAAGGUCCGUGUCCGAGAGGAGAAGAAUCCAGACCACCGGCUAAGGCCCCCAAAUGAUCGUUGAGUUGAACUAACGAGGUCGGAUCGCAGAGACAGCUAGGAUGUUGGCUUGGAAGCAGCCAUUCAUUUAAAGAGUGCGUAACAGCUCACUAGUCGAGCGAUCUGGCGUGGAUAAUAAUCGGGCAUAAACGAUCUGCCGAAGCCGUGGAUGUCGCAAGACAUGGUAGGGGAGCAUUCCAUGCUGCGUCGAAGAUGAGGGAUGACCCUUGUUGGAGCGCAUGGAAAAGCAAAUGUAGGUAUGAGUAACGAUAAGGGGGGCGAGAAACCCCCCCGCCGAAAGACCAAGGUUUCCUGAUCAACGCUAAUCGGAUCAGG
rnacentral:rRNA from 1 species